GACUGGGUAGCUCAAUGGUAGAGCGUCUGGCUACACAGCAUCAUUACAGUAUUCUUAGUAGUCAGAAGAUGCAGGUUCGAUCCCUGUCCCGGUUA
rfam:Pochonia chlamydosporia 170 chromosome 2, whole genome shotgun sequence.